rnacentral:rRNA from 1 species
CCUACGGGAGGCAGCAGUGGUGAAUAUUGCACAAUGGGGGAAACCCUGAUGCAGCGACGCCGCGUGAGUGAAGAAGUAUUUCGGUAUGUAAAGCUCUAUCAGCAGGGAAGAAAAUGACGGUACCUGAUUAAGAAGCCCCGGCUAACUACGUGCCAGCAGCCGCGGUAAUACGUAGGGGGCAAGCGUUAUCCGGAUUUACUGGGUGUAAGGGGAGCGUAGACGGCAGCACAAGUCUGGAGUGAAAUGCCGGGGCUUAACCCCGGAACUGCUUUGGAAACGGUGCAGGUAGGGUGCAGGCGAGGUAGUGGAAUUCCUAGUGUAGCGGUGAAAUGCGUAGAUAUUAGGAGGAACACCAGUGGCGAAGGCGGCUUACUGGACUGUAACUGACGUUGAGGCUCGAAAGCGUGGGGAGCAAACAGGAUUAGAUACCCGUGUAGUC